UUCAGAGAUGGAGUGUUCUAUCUUCGGAUAGACAAGGAGACAGGUGGUGCAUGGUUGUCGUCAGCUCGUGUCGUGAGAUGUUGGGUUAAGUCCCGCAACGAGCGCAACCCUUAUUCUUAGUUGCCAGCAUGAAGAUGGGCACUCUAAGGAGACUGCCGGUGACAAACCGGAGGAAGGUGGGGAUGACGUCAAAUCAUCAUGCCCUUUAUGACCUGGGCUACACACGUGCUACAAUGGCCUGUACAAAGGGUAGCGAAGCAGUAAUGCGGAGCCAAUCCCAAAAAGCAGGUCUCAGUUCGGAUUGCAGGCUGCAACUCGCCUGCAUGAAGUCGGAAUCGCUAGUAAUCGCGGAUCAGCAUGCCGCGGUGAAUACGUUCCCGGGCCUU
rnacentral:rRNA from 1 species